rnacentral:rRNA from 1 species
ACCUGUCCUUAGUACGAGAGGACCGGGAUGGACAUACCGCUGGUGUACCAGUUGUUCCGCCAGGAGCAUCGCUGGGUAGCUAUGUAUGGAUGAGAUAAACGCUGAAAGCAUCUAAGUGUGAAACUCGCCUCAAGAUGAGAUUUCCCAUUCCUUUGGAAGUAAGACCCCACAGAGAUGAUGUGGUAGAUAGGAUGGAAGUGGAAGUGCGGUGACGCAUGGAGCGGACCAUUACUAAUCGGUCGAGGACUUAACCAA